UCCGGUUUGUCACCGGCAGUCUCCCUAGAGUGCCCUUGCGUAGCAACUAGGGACAAGGGUUGCGCUCGUUGCGGGACUUAACCCAACAUCUCACGACACGAGCUGACGACAGCCAUGCAGCACCUGUGUUGCGGUUCCCUUUCGGGCACCAGGACAUCUCUGCCCCAUUCCGCACAUGUCAAGGGUAGGUAAGGUUUUUCGCGUUGCAUCGAAUUAAUCCACAUAAUCCACCGCUUGUGCGGGUCCCCGUCAAUUCCUUUGAGUUUUAGCCUUGCGGCCGUACUCCCCAGGCAGGGCACUUAAUGCGUUAGCUACGGCACCGGAGGGGUCGAUACCCCCGACACCUAGUGCCCACCGUUUACGGCGUGGACUAC
rnacentral:misc_RNA from 1 species